rnacentral:lncRNA from 1 species
CUGGUGUAUGCUUUUGUCUUGCAGACAGCUGGGCUGCACAAGCACUCCCUGUUGGGAUAGUCUACCUUCAGCAUUUGCUGGAACCUGGAUCCUUUAGGGUGGACCAUACAAGAGAUAAGCAAGAGAACAGAUGUGAAACUGGAACCCUGGGGUAAUUGGAGUCCAUAUCCCACCACCCCCUGGAAAAGAAAGGCAGAGAUGGGUCACUCUCUCCUUGCUGCAGUUAGGACAAGGUAGAUAAAUCACAAGGUUUUUUUAUUGCUGGUGAACUCAAAACAGGCAACUUUAAUCUACUGAGGAAGAUACACAUACAACAAAUGUUAGGCCUUGUGCGUUUUUUUUCUUCUUAAUGUAAAUGUCUCUUCAACUUCAGUCCAGCUCUGAAGCUCUCACUGAGCUGCCGCCAAAAUCCUGGUAAUGUGCUCUGGGCACUUCUGCAAGGUGUUGUAAGAAGCAUCACAUGUAUUAAAAAGGGAAAUUUUGCAGAAAAGACGAAGCUCUGACUGCAGCCAUGUUGCUCAGAACGGAGAAGUCUGGCUAAUCCUGCUGCAUUAGGUAUGUGGUGUUAUACAUAAUUAAUUGUUUAAGAAUUUGACGGGUCCUUUUCUGUUUCUGGUGUGCAAGCUGCAAGUAAAGUGCACUUCUGGGUAUAAAUUACCACUCUAUAAAGAUGCAAUAGCUGGGUGGUACACAUCAGACAUCAGUGGAAAGCAGACAAAACAGUUGUUACAAUGACACAGGCAAUAAGGAUAAUGCUCUAGAUACUAGAUGCUGCUGGGAAACCCCUCCAUAUUUUGAGCAUCUAAAUAUUACCCCACUGAGCAAAACCAGUGGCAUUUAGUUGGGACCUUCUAAAGUACAGACAAUAACAGACACAUAGCUGUUACUGUGUACCAGGUUAGCUCUGUGGACAGCCACUCCUCCAAACCACACUGCUAACUCCUUUUAACUUUUCUAAAGUUUUCUAACAGCUAAGGAGAAAGCAGGGAUCCUAAGGAUGUUUCUAUGAGGCUGAGGGUUUUACAUGAUGUGGGGGUGAUGUAGGAGGCAGCACAACACCACACUUAAGCUAUGCUAUGAGAGGACAACCCAGCUUU